CUCCUCUGAGGCUUAUGGAGCUCUUGAAUAGUCUCCCCUGAAGCUUAUGGAGCUCUCGAAUAGCCUCCCCUUAAUCGAGGCUCGACUCCUUUCUCUAGAGCCCUCGAACAAAGUACACCCUUUGUUCAACACUU